GUUGAGUAUCUCGCCUCUCAAUUCUCUCUGUAUUUUACCCUUGUUUUUCCCAUACUAUUAUUUCCUCGGCAGGCUCGCCUGCCGGGUGAAACAACUUCAAACCUGUUUAAUUUUCAAUCAGCGUCUGAACAAAUUAAUAAUUACAACUUUCAACAACGGAUCUCUUGGUUCUGGCAUCGAUGAAGAACGCAGCGAAAUGCGAUAAGUAGUGUGAAUUGCAGAAUUCAGUGAAUCAUCGAAUCUUUGAACGCACAUUGCGCCCCUUGGUAUUCCAUGGGGCAUGCCUGUUCGAGCGUCAUUUGUACCUUCAAGCUCUGCUUGGUGUUGGGUGUUUGUCCUUGCUCUAGUGGCGGGACUCGCCUUAAAGUAAUUGGCAGCCAGUGUUUUGGUUUUGAAGCGCAGCACAAGUCGCGAUUCAAGUCUAUACGCUAGUUUCCACAAGUCUUUUAUCACUUUUGACCUCGGAUCAGGUAGGGAUACCCGCUGAACUUAAGCAUAUCAAUAAGCGGAGGAAAAGAAACCAACAGGGAUUGCCCUAGUAACGGCGAGUGAAGCGGCAACAGCUCAAAUUUGAAAUCUGGCUCUUUCAGAGUCCGAGUUGUAAUUUGCAGAGGGCGCUUUGGUGUUGGCAGCGGUCCAAGUUCCUUGGAACAGGACGUCACAGAGGGUGAGAAUCCCGUACGUGGUCGCUAGCCUUCGCCGUGU
rnacentral:rRNA from 1 species